rnacentral:rRNA from 1 species
CUACGGGAGGCUCCAGUGAGGAAUUUUGCGCAAUGGGGGAAACCCUGACGCAGCAACGCCGCGUGAGCGAAGAAGGCCUUCGGGUCGUAAAGCUCUGUCAAGUGGGAAAAAACGCUUUAGAUUAACAGUCUAAAGAAUUGAUGGUACCACUGGAGGAAGCACCGGCUAACUCCGUGCCAGCAGCCGCGGUAAUACGGAGGGUGCAAGCGUUGUUCGGAAUUACUGGGCGUAAAGCGCGUGCAGGCGGUUUGGCAAGUCAGAUGUGAAAGCCCUGGGCUCAACCCGGGAAGUGCAUUUGAAACUGCCUUUCUUGAGUAUGGGAGAGGAGAGUGGAAUUCCCAGUGUAGAGGUGAAAUUCGUAGAUAUUGGGAGGAACACCCGUGGCGAAGGCGACUCUCUGGACCAAUACUGACGCUGAGACGCGAAAGCGUGGGGAGCAAACAGGAUUAGAUACCCUGGUAGUC